rnacentral:misc_RNA from 1 species
AGACUAAGAUGAGUUUGUAAAAAAUUAAAAAUAGACUUAUUUGGUCAGGGCAUGUUUAUGCUUGCUUCAAUUAUGAAAACUCAAUAUAUUACCCAAAAGCUUCAUUGCAAACAGAGUGCCGGCGAACGUUCAACCGUUUUCAGGUCCUCUCGAUGUCUGCAAAGAGUCAUCUCAGCCUCUGUGAUUCUCCGAUUCUCAUCGACGAUGGCAGAAAGGUAAUCUCGCUCCCUUCUCCUGCUCCAAUUCCUGCUUCUCAGAUUAACUCUAUCUUAUCAUGUCCUUUCCAUUAACAGAGCUUUGCAUUGGAGAAAUGGACCGGGAGGAAAUGCUACAUGCUUUCUGCAAGGGACCUUACAAUUAUCUGGUCCAAUUCUCCAGAUUAUUGGAGAUGGUUACCCGACCCAGAUUCCAGGUUCUCCAUUUCUCUCUUUUAUUUUCCAUCUAAUUUUUUGAUUAAGAAACUUACUGAAGCUUUGUACGAACAGAUUUUCGGAAGUGGCUGAGCUUAUUGAUGUUUGUUGGUUUGAAAUCAAUGACGAAAUUAGUAUCCAGAUGUUGUCCCCAGAAACAUCAUAUGCGGCGUACUUGGUGUUCAAAUUGACAACAAGUGCUUAUGGGUUUGAAGGACAUCCAGCAGAGAUCACUGUAGAACUUGCUGGAAGUGAAAAGGAUAAGCGUAGUGUUUUUUUGGUUCCAGUAAGAGGACAGAGGCGCCAACACCAAACUUUAAGAAGGCUAACUGGUUUGUUUAACUGCAGCCGGGUUUCGGGUUCGCAACCCUCUGUGCCUGCCGGAAAAAGCUAUGGCAAAUACCCGAAAGAGAGAGUAGAUGGGUGGCUGGAGAUUGAAUUGGGUGAGUUCUUUAACAAGAAAAGCGGAGAUGGAGAGGUGGAGAUGAGAGUUGUGCAUUUGAAAGGCGGCCACUGGAAAGGUGAUCUCUUUGUUCAAGGGAUAGAGUAGGCCAAAAGGAGCUUAAAAAAGUAAGCCAGCAAUCGCAAUUUGAAGGUUGGAGGAGAGACUAAUUGCUCCAGGAAAAGUUUGAGAUUGCUUAAAAAGAAUAAAAAAAUCGGAAAGUUCUAAUCUUGCUUGAUAGAGUGAGAAGUGAAAAUUUCCGGUGAUAUUAUAUAUCCAAAUAAAGCAUCAUUCUCUUCACUCUUUGCCUGAUUUACUACGAAUGUGGUAAAGACAUGCAUAGAAACUAUCCUUUGAGAUUUUGCAAUGAUAAUGUUGAACUUAGCACAGCUCAUUUUCAGAAGAGAAAAAAGAAAGUACAAAUUUGGUAUGCUUUAUUGGUUUAGUAGUGCUGUCCAGCGGACGGAAACAGUUGUUGGAAGAAAAGACGAGUCAAGAUAAAGAGCAGAUGGAAAAGGAAGGAGGGGAAAGUCAGUGGCACAAAACGAACCAAUGAAUUAUCAUAGAAAAAGGAAAUUAUUGAUCCACAGCCACCCGCCAAGGUGGGCAGUGGGUUCGGCAUCUCCUUUUAGAUUAGACAUCAUUGCUGCAAAAGGUCCAGGACCAUUGAGUUUAGGCACAACAGCGACCUAUCAAGUCCAGAUGACAACAACAUGAAAAACAGCGACUUAUCAAGUGCAGAUGACUAUAAGAUGGAACAGCUUUCAUAUUAGGUAGGUGGGAUUAAAUUUUUAUGACAAAUCAACCAAUCCCUAUCAUCCUCAACUGCAAAUCUAUCGACAGCUCACGGCUACAUCACCAACUCACUCUCACCUGCUGAUCUCCAACACCAACUUGAAAUUA